UCUAAAUCCGUAAUUCUCAACAAGAUUGUUACUCCUCCCAUAAGGGAAACUGAUAAAGCUAAAGACAGAGUUGGAUGGCACCAAGGGAGAAGGCUACACAGCAUCUAGUAUGUAAAAGCAGAGAUGCUGCUAAGGACCUACUCCAAGUGCUCCACACAGCAAAGAGUCAUGCAGCUCCAGUAUGAGCAGCCCCAAGUCAGGAAGCACAGUCUACACCACUGGCGUGGAAGAAGAAUUAUGUUAUUCGAAAUGAACUCAUCCUUAAUUUAAAGCACUAGGUAUAUUCCAUCUUUAAAUAAUUUUCAACAACAUGGAAAGAAAACUACAACCUGAUCAUAUUAACCAAACUUCCCCUACAAAACAGACAACAGAGAAAAGGGUAACACAGCUCUGAAAGGUGGAAAUCAAAGAGAAAUGUUCUACAAAUGCUUCCUAUAAGUGUUUUUCUUGAGCCAUAAAUUUUUUGUGUUACUCUACCUGUUUCAUGUCUCAACCAACCCAGGGUUACUACUAGAUACUGAUGGUAAGGUUAUAAAAAGUUCUGUAGUUAUUUACAAACCGCCCCCUCGGAACACAAAACUGGAAGUGAAAUGUAGACUAAGAAAUGUCCUGGGUAGUAGAGUGAGUCUGGCAAGUGUGUAUCUUACUGUGGCUCAGAGUAAGUUAUCCAACUAACCAAAGAAUGCCAAGGACAGAAGACCACCACGAUACCCUACUAAGAAUAACCAGGGUCAAACAUGCUGCACGCACCUGUGAUCUCACUUCAAACACUGGGAAGGUAGAAGCAAGAAGACUGUUCCAAAUUCUAGACUAGCCUCCUCUACAUACAGUUCCAACUGAGGUAGCCAAUAUUCUACCUCAAAGGUCGACUAUUGGUAGACUACCAAUACUAUAUCUCAGAAAGACUGGUCAACUUUUAGAAAGAUGAUAAAAGAAUUGUCAGAAUUUAGAAACUGAGGUAAAUCUAAGAAUUAAAGUGCAGUGAAUCUUCUAGCAUCUUAAACCCAGAGACCCCAUCCUACCUCCUACUCAGUCCACUCAGAACAAGAAAAAUGAAGUAUUUCAUGGGCCAAGUCGUCUACACUACCGUAAACAGCUAUAAAAACAGGCUACAGAAAUUCAUCGCCAACAAAUAUUUUAUUAUGUUAAAGAGAUGCUAUUAACUUUUUGAUGUGUGAAAAAUAUAUACUAGGGCUUUCUAAAAAAUUUUAAGUUAAAUGACUCUAAUACUUAACUAAAAAUGACCCUCCUCUAACUCUGCCCAGACAUAACCACUGCUAACCCACUCUUAAACUUUUCACCUUAAACAGUGAGUUUCAAAUUUUCUUCCCCAAUUGCACUGAAAUUUUCUAAAGAAGGUAUUUAUCAUAUAAAGACAUUCCCUUCCUUUUCUAAAACAAAGCAUGAGAGAAGAGGCCCCUAUAAGAACAGCCUCCAUUCAGUUAGUAGCCUUCAAUACAGUGCAGACAGCCAUUCACAUGAAGAUGCUCCCAAGAACAUUCAGGGCAAGCCCGAUGCAGUUGUCCGUCCAGUUAAGCUGUCCUUCUCACUAGGUAAGGACUCCCAAGUCUCUGUAAGAACUGACUAGUUGGAACAGUAGCAAGUAGAGUUCCUCAUAAUGACUAAUUCCAUCUAAUUUAGCUGCUCCCUCACACACUGAUUCUCAUGAGUCUUCCAAGGUAAGGACAAACUUUCUCUCAUUGUAUCAGAAUUGGCAAUAAUGGCCAUGGGAUUAACUCUCAUUCAACUAAGGGUAAUGAGGAGGAAUUUACUCCAAAAUUCUUGAACAAAGGAUCUCCUGAUAUAAUGAUCUUUAAUGUAGUGGUGAAGGACAGAGAAAUCCUUUGAAAAAUUAGGAGGAAGAUGAUAGGCGAUAACUCAGACUGAAAUUCAUUCACAUUUUGCAGAUUAAUUUUAAAUAAAUAAAUCAAGCUGUAUUCUUAGUUUCACAAUCACUAGCAUGCUAUUUCCAAGAAAAUGUUUUUUUGAUGAAUAGAAAGUAAAACAGAAUUAUAUAAUUAUAUGGAAUAUAAUUAUAAAGCCUGAGACGUAGCAAGCCUUUGCUAACCCUUCUUAUUUUAAACAUCUAUUUGUCUUGCUUUUUGUUUCAGACACAAUUGUACAAUAUGGCUUAAUCUGGUGUAAAAAAGUAUGUAGCCCAGACCAUCCUCAAAUUCAGAGCAAUCCUACUGUCUCAACCUCUUAGGUGCUGGAAUUACAAAGUGUGUAUCAAGACAUCCAACUUUCAUAUUUUAAGCAUUUGAAGGUUUAAAAAUAUCUUGCUACCAAACAGUAAUGAUACUUUUUUGAGCUAGCCAGGAGUGUAGUGCCACACACCUGUAAUCCCAGCACUCAGGAUGCUGAGACAUCAGUAAGACCCUGUCUCAACAAUACUAAUAAUAGUCAUUAUUACCAUGAGCUAAAUGUUGAUGCCUUAAAAGCCAAAUUCACUAUGAGCACUUGAAAACAUGAUUUCCUCCCAAGCCUGUAAUUCAGACUCCUUCUUUUUUGUACUUUGCAAACAUGACUUAAUAGAAAGCAAUGAAUGAGCUGCUCCAAGUGCUCAACUGCAGUAACAAAGCAUGCACCACAGCAGCCAUGUAUGCAGAACGGUCAAUCAGGCUUUCUCUUCUAAAUUAACAAGGCUAUGCAUUUUGUUCUUAAACAAAAGUAUACAGGGACCAAGCCUGGUGCAAGCCUAUAUAAUCCUGCUACCAGAGAGGCUGAGGCAGGAGUAUCACAUAACAAAUACAACUCCUGUCUGGACUACAGAGUUAGCUCCCGUGUUACCAGCCUAGGCAAUCUAAGUGAGGACUUCUCCCAAAUAAAGAGGACUGAGAGGGACAUUUAUCUCUGAAGUGGACCCUUGCCUACUUCCAACUUCCAGUCUGAGGGUACGUCUCCUUGACCUUGAGUCUAUCCUCUACUUUUAGGCUAACCCCACUUCAAACUGAUAACAACAUUAUCAAGAUAGAAAGGAAAACACUUAAGUAGUCUGAAAUCCUUAGGGGAAAAAAGGAAGAGAGAGAAACAGUGCAACACAGCCAAGAGCUCCAGGAGGCAGCACAGCCCACCAGCCGUGUGCCCACCAGCCCUUCUCCUUCCAAUACAGCCCACACUCACAGCUCCUUCUCCACACUGCUCUAGUGUGCUCUCAGAGCACUAAUACUUGUUUAUACCUAUCAUGGUGGGAGCUCUGAUAAAGCCUCUUAGGGAAAGGAGGACAGACACAUUAGGAAUCUCCUAAACAAAGAAGAAAACUAAGCACAGUUAUCUUAGUCAGGGUUUCUUUUUUUUCUUUUUGGUCUUUUCAAGACAAGGUUUCUCUGUAUAGCCCUGGCUGUCCUGGAACUCACGUUGUAGACCAGGCUGGCCUUGAACUCAGAAAUCUGCCUGCCUCUGUCCGGAGUGCUAGGACUAAAGGCGUGUGCCACCACCGCCUGGCUUUAGUCAGGGUUUCUAUUCCUGCACAAACAUCAUGACCAAGAAGCAAGUUGGGGAGGAAAGGGUUUAUUCAGCUUACACUUCCACACUGCUGUUCAUCACCAAGGAAGUCAGGACUGGAACUCAAGCAGGUCAGGAAGCAGGAGCUGAUGCAGAGGCCAUGGAGGGAUGUUCUUUACUGGCUUGCUUCCCCUGGCUUGCUCAGCCUGCUCUCUUAUAGAACCCAAGACUACCAGCCAGAGAUGGCACCACCCACAAGGGGCCUGAAACCCUUGAUCACUAAUUGAGAAAAUGCCUUACAGCUGGAUCUCAUGGAGGCACUUUCCCAACUGAAUCUCCUUUCUCUGUGUCACUCCAGCCUAUGUCAAGGUGACACAAAACUAGCCAGUACAACAGUGGAAGAGGGUUAAAUUCGGUAAUUUGGAAAUAAGUGAGGUUUUGCUGUUGUUGCUAUUUUAAGAGAGAAAUUACAGUCCUAGCUGUCCUGGAACUCUAUAUGUACACUCAUAUACAUGUACAUAUGGCCGUGAACUCCGAGAGACCCAUCUUCCUCUGCCUCUCAGAGUACUAGCAUCAUCAAAGGCAUUCACCACCAAGCCCACAUAAGAAGGGACCUUUUUUUUGUAACUAAAGAACUUCAUUAUUAGUGCUGUAUGCAGCAAAUUAAAAAGCAACUUGGCUGUUUUCUUAUAUAGUUAACAACAUACUAAAAACUUAUUUACAGGAACCAGGCAGUGGUGGCGCACGCCUUUAAUCCCAGCACUCGGGAGGCAGAGGCAGGCGGAUUUCUGAGUUCGAGACCAGCCUGGUCUACAAAGUGAGUUCGAAGAUAGCCAGGGCUACACAGAGAAACCCUGUGUCAAAAAACCAAAAAAAAAGUUAUUUACAGUAUCACUAAAUUCCUUUUAUUCCAUAUUCUAAAUAUAUAUCAUUGGGAGAGAGAAUUAAGUUUCAUAAGAGGAUAACUGCCCAUAUUAUCAGUUAUAAAUUCACAAGAUUUCCAAAUGUAUUGCUCUCAGUAUCAGGAAGGUCACCACUACUUAAAGUAAGACGCAUAUUCAAGAACUUGAUCUAACUUUCAACAACCCUUUUUGCAGCCUUUCCCAAGGCUACCUACCAUAAAUAAACAAACAAACAAAAAUUACGAUGAAAUUGCAGAAAGGCAUUUAAGAGCACUGUCCCAUUUGGGCAGCCACAGAUGCUAUUUUAAAAACUCAUGUACUUAAGACAUUAAAUGUCAUAUUACUGAGCAUUAACAUCCCCAAAUCAAAAGUUCUGAAAACUAUGCUAAUUAGCAUACAUUUAAUUAUGUUUCUAAAAGGUACAAGUAGAUAAUGCUGAGCUGAGCCGGAAUUUGCUACAUUUAAUGUCCGAAUUGCUAUUAUUCCUUAAGAAGAAAUCGAAUUUAUUUUGUCGAAGCCUGCCUUCCAAUCAGAUCAGUAAACCCAGCAAAGAGUAAAAAUUGGACACCUGCAUUAAAAAAAGAAAAUUAAAAAUCUGCUUGGCCUGACAUGUGAAUGAGGCCCUGGCAAAUGAUUCUCCAAGCUUCUAACCCCCUCUGAGUGCACACACUCUCCCGAGCACUUGUGUCUUUUCCUCCCUAACUGAUGAUCAGAAGGGCAAGCAGAAAUUAAAAAAGAAAAAAAAAAAAGGAGGGGGGGGAGAUCGCAGAAUAAAUUUGCCUGCUACCAACCAUCCAAUUAGCGAAGUCCCUGGCUGCCAAGUCACCUAGUCAACAGAACCUCAAUAAUAAACACUACGUGUAACGUGACCAUGGAUCACCACACCGUGGGUCCUCUCCAGGGCCUCGCAUCCGUGUGUCAGCUUCCUCAGUCACCACCGGGGAGGGCCUGCAGAGUGAUGUCCUGCAAACAGUUCAGACCCUGCCAGGCCACGGGCCGUGCGCGAGGUGGGGGGUGGGAGGUGAUAGUCCUCGGUGGAACCCACCCGGGAGCGUGGCGCGGCCGCCUUGGGGACCGGCCCUCCCCCUGCCUUCCCUCAGCCCUGCCCGGCCCCGGGAGGGGCGCGGGCCGUUCCCCUCCCCCACGGCCGCCCGGCCGCCGUCGCCCCACCCGGGGGAGGCUGCUUGCGGCCCGCGCCCUUGCUCGGCUCGCGAGCCCCGGGCCGGGCCGGGCCGAGCCUGGCGGGGAGGCCGGGUUGCGGUACGAACCUCGCUGUUGAAGGUCUUCACGGCCUCCAUGUUGUCUGCGCAGAGGCCCGGGGCCCGACGGAGGAAGAGGCGGCGGCCGGGUGCGAUGCGUGCGGAAAGGCGGGCGACGGGCCCAGGAGGCCGCGGAGCACUGCGAGCAGGCGACGCUCCUCAGCGCCGGCGAGGCCCCAGCAUGGCCGCGGGGCGGGCGCAGUGAGCAGGACGGAGGCCGCCGGGGCGGGUCGGCGGCGGGGGAGGGGCUGGCGCGGCGCCUUCUCUGCUUCUCCGCCUCGCUCGGAAGCGGCCUCCACACUCAAGCUUCGGCCCCCUCCACUCUCCACCCCCUUCUCCUCCUUCCUCUUCCUCCCACGGGCUCCUGUGUCACCUCCCUGCCGCCUAGGCCGCGGGAACCUGCAGCGCGCAGCGAAGACACAGGAGGAAGCGCUGACCGCGGCGGCUGCGGCAUCCAAUAUGGCGGACGCGGUCGAGCCGCGCACUCGGAGUCGGCGGCGCCAGCCAGCGCGCCCCCUGGCGACCAGGCCGCGCGAGGUCCGCGGCCGCGCCAGACCAUAGAGAUGGCGUGGGCCAGAGCGUCUGGAGUCGCUGCGGCGGGAGCGGGGGACCCGAGGCCCUUGGCUGUCCUCAUCCCGGGCCGCGGGAGCGAGCGCUGCGGCUGGACGGAGGGGCUUCGGGUGGCCGAUCCCGCGGAUGAGCGCCGCUCUAGAAACAAGCAAAAACAAAGUUCAGGGGAAGAGACCGAAUGGAGGAAACUACGGUGUCUUCGUUGCCGCUUCCGGGUGGGAUGGCACCUGCGGUGGAGGAGGGAUUGAAGUGCCUUUGAGAACUUUAGCGGGAGGUGGGUUAUUCCGAAGGAAUUUGGCCCCAGGUUAUCGGAGCAGAGGGAUAAUUGCGGGUUUUAGGAUCCAGACGUGGUACGGGUGAAAAUGCUUCGUGCUUGCUUGAAGUUAAACCCGGCGGGGGAACGAUUGUUCCCACUGAACGUUCCCACAGGAGAACCCUUGGAGACACUACCUUUCCCACAGAAUUUCAUUCAAGGAGCUCAAAGGCCAGGAAAUCUUUUGAAAAGGUACCAUCUACCUGGAGGGCAUCAUCCUGAGUGAGAGGACAAGCAAAAAGAGGAAUGGAAGACUAGAUACACAGCUAAAUGGAAGGAGAACUUCUGGCCUAAAUGCAAUAAGGAAAUCUAUGUGGCUACCGAGAGCAACAGGACACUCCUGACAUUGUGUAACCCAAAGAUAGAAACAUGCAAUUGUGCUACAUGGCCCUCCAGGCUCUGGAAAAACCACAAUGGCAAAGCAGCUAAUGUUAGAAUGGUCAGAGCGUAAGCAGGCCCAGAUUUUCUCAUGUGCCUUCUACAUCAGCUGCAGGGAAGUAAAUAAUACUAAACUUUGCACUUUUGCCCACCUCCUCUCCAUGGACAAUCCCUCCUGGAGGGACUGUGUGAUCCGGCAUCUAGACCUGGAAGAAGAAUUCUUAUUUGUGGUGGACGGUUUUGAUGAGCUGACAUUCCCAGCAGGAGCUCUGAUCUGUGACCUUUAUGGUGACUGGAACAUAGUGAAACCUGUAGAGGUCUUACUGGGAAGUUUGCUGAAGAGAAAGAUGGUACCUCAUGCCACUCUGCUGGUAACCAACCACACGGACACAGGCUUUGUGCCAAAUCUUCAUCAUGACGGAUCAGCCUCUCCUAGUAAAAAUUUGGGGCUUCUUGGAGCAAGAAAAGUAGGAGCACUUUCAGAAAUACUUUGAAAAUGAGGAGGGUGGAAGGAGUUUCAGAGACAAGGUGUGGAGCAGAGAGGCAAUGACCAUCCAGAGACUGAACCACCUGGGGAUCCAUCCUAUUUACAAUCACCAAACCCAGACACUGUUGUGGAGGGCAAAAAGUGCUUACUGACAGGAGCCUGGUAUAGCUCUCUCCUGAGAGGCUCUACCAGUGCCACAUAAACACAGAGGAGGAUGCUCACAGCCAUCCAAUGGACUGAGCAUAGGAUCCCCAAGGAAGGAGCUAGAGAAAGGACCCAAGGAGUGAAAGGGGUUUGUAGCCCCAUAGGAGGUUCAACAAUAUGAACUAACCAGUACUCCUAGAGCUCCCAGGGACUAAACCACCAACUAAAGAGCACACAUGGUGGGACUCCUGGCUCCAGCGGCAUAUGCAGCAGAGGAUCGCCUAGUCUGACAUCAAUGGGAGAAGAGGACCUUUGUCCUUUGAAGGCUCUAUGCCUCAGUGUGGGGGAAUGCUAGGACCAGGAAGCUGGAGUGGUAGGUUGUUGAGCAGGGGGAGGGGAAGUUAUAGGGGGAGGGUGUUUUCCUUUAUUUACAUUACACUUGUAAUGUAAAUAAAAAUAUCCAAUUAAAAAGAUACUUAUUCAGGAUAAAAAAAAAAAAAAAGACUGUCAUAGAUAGAACUCUUUAUGUUACUUUGUAGGAUUUCACAGGAGUGCCCUCUCAAGUGACUCACUUGGCUAGACACUUGGUUUCAUGUCUGACUGUGACACUUUCACUCCAUUGAUGAGCAAAGAGUAGCAGAAAAGCUACCCACUCAGUGAGCUGUGGCAGAGGCAGGAUCACCACCCCAUAUUCCCAGUCUGGGAGUUCCUGGUCCCCAUCACUUGCCCCAUAUGGACACAGCACCAAGUUCUCCAGCUUCCUGGUGGGGAUUCAACCAAACCCCUUUGGUCUUGGCCCUCUGCAUUCUACCCUUUCUGGGAAACCUGAGCUGUAAAACUAAGGUGAAGAAAAAAGGAACUCCCCUUCCCAAGUGGGUGGCGAGUGCUAGCUCCUCAGGGAGCCGUCUGCUCU